rnacentral:rRNA from 1 species
GACGAACGCUGGCGGCGUGCUUAACACAUGCAAGUCGAACGGAAAGGCCCUGCUUUUGUGGGGUGCUCGAGUGGCGAACGGGUGAGUAACACGUGAGUAACCUGCCCUUGACUUUGGGAUAACUUCAGGAAACUGGGGCUAAUACCGGAUAGGAGCUCCUGCUGCAUGGUGGGGGUUGGAAAGUUUCGGCGGUUGGGGAUGGACUCGCGGCUUAUCAGCUUGUUGGUGGGGUAGUGGCUUACCAAGGCUUUGACGGGUAGCCGGCCUGAGAGGGUGACCGGCAACAUUGGGACUGAGAUACGGCCAAGACUCCUACGGGAGGAAAAAGUGGGGAAUAUUGAAAAAUGGGCGGAAGCCUGAUGCAGAAACGCCGCGUGCGGGAGGACGGCCUUCGGGUUGUAAACGGCUUUCGCCUGUGACGAAGCGUGAGUGACGGUAAUGGGUAAAGAAGAACCGGCUAACUACGU